rnacentral:tRNA from 1 species
GCCUCUUUAGCUCAGAUGGUAGCAGCGCUCGCUUUGUAAGCGAAAGGUCAUGGGUUCAAUCCCCAUAGGAGGCU